AAAAACCAUGAAGUUUUGAUUGUAACUUUCAAACCUGAGCCAUUGCCAGCAGUGGCAGCUCCACAGGUUUGAGUGAGUUUAGCUCAUUAAAUAACAUGCUAUUAUAAUGUUUGCUGAAGAGUCUCAGCUAUUUGUAGAUUAGUUUCUGAAACUUUUCAUUUUGCCUUAACAUUUGUACUAGACAGAGGAGGUGGAAUGUAUGUGUUGUAGGAGGAUGAGAGAGCAAAGUCUAACUGAAUAUGAAGUAAGGAAGUUGGAGAGGAUAAAAAAUAUUUUGGGAAAGUGGACAUUUGUCAUUAUUUUUGGCUGACUACUCCCCUCUUCACCUUUUGUCUUUGAGACAUUCUCCUUUUUGGCAGAUAGCAGAAUCCUUUUCACUCAGUAGAAGUCACAUGCCAUUCUAACCUUCCUUAUAGCUAGAUUAUAGGCAUAUGACUCAAGAUACAUGAUGAUUCAUCAGUUCCAUCCAAGGUAGAUUGUAACUUAGAAGGUAGGAGUCCAAAGAGCCAGGGCCACCAGGAAGCUAUCAUGAUGAGGUUAAUGGUGUCUGUGGUGGCUAGAUCCAGUUUCCAGGGUUCAUGGUAACGGUUCCAGCAGCUAGCAGGGGCCAGUGUCUAGCAUCAGUGUUGUCAGUGGGACAAGCAGUUGAGUCUGUGCCUGGUAAAAGCAACAGUUGUGCCUUCAUAGAAUCAGUUAUAUGAGGGAAUUUUGUUAAUUUUGAAUGUUUUUCUUGGAUGGGUGGCAUUUAAGUUGAUUCUGACACUCCUGGAACUUCCAUGAGUAACACAAUAUCUUUCAAUAAUUCCCUUUUUGCCUUAAUCACUCAGCUUGUCAGAGGUGUUUGAACUAGAGCAACUCCAUUUUGAAUGGGAGUGGGAAAAACGAUUUUGAGACUUGCUGGGCCACAUUCCCAGGAGGCUAAGUAUCUUAGUCACAAGGUAUUUACAGUUAAGGGAACAGAAACAGACCCGGACAAUAUCCUGAUGUCCUGAUAUCUUGAGAACAAAAGCAUUCCUAGUUUAAAAACAAGUUUUGCUUUAAAGAUAAUAAUAUAGACUCUUGUGAAAGAUAGUAGUUACACAAAGAUUAGCAAUCCUUUAUCCCAAAUCCUUGUGGUAGAGCACAUCUCUCCCAUGAUUUUUGUUAUAUACAAACAAGCAUUGUACCUAAGGUGGGUGCAUUCCUGUGCUUACUUUCAGGAACACCCUGCUCUGUCUAUGGAGUAGCUAUUCUUACAUUCUUUUACUUUUCAAAAUAGACUUGUAUUCACUUUCCUCUGCGGACUUGGUCUGAAUUCUUUCCUGCACGAGAUCCAAGAACCCUCUCUUGGGGUCUCAAUGGGACCACUUUCUGGUAACAUCCUCCUGGUGAACCACAAAGGGACUACUGAAGAGACCCCUGACCCAAAGGAAAUAAACUGCAGCACCAAUUGGCCAAUUCUGGAUUUCACCUGUUAUCAGGACUCGGAGUUGUGAAAGAGACCCUAAUGAUUAGAUGAGAACAUCACUGCUUCUGUUCAGCAUGAAGAAGCUACAGAAGAUGGAUAUUCAUCCCUCUGCCACUUUUAGGAUUAAGGCUUUCCUUGUAAAAGGAAGGGGGGAAAUGUCAGAGGCAUUCGAACUAGAGCAACUCCAUCUUGAAUAGGGACUGAGUAAAAUGAGGCCAAGGCCUGCCAGGUGGCACUUCUGGAAGGUUAGGCAUUCUUAGCCACAAGAUAUUUUUGCAUAAGGAAACAGAAACAUACCCAAUACCUAACAGACCCAGGAAAUGUCCUGAUGUCCCGAUAUAUUAAGAAGAAACCAUUCCUAGUUUAAGAAUAAGUUUUGCUUUAAAGAUAAUAAUAUAGACUCUUGCGAAUGGUGGUAGUUACACAAAGAUCAGCAAUCCUUUAUCCCAAAUCCUUGUAAUAGAGUACAUCUCCCUCAUGAUUUUGGUUAUCUGAUAAAUAAACAAGCAUUGUACCUAA